CACGUUUGCUCAAUUCGGAACUCAACUUAAGUUACAGUUUUCUUAAUAGAAUGGAGUGAAUCAGACAAUGUAAAUUCAAUAUUCACAGAGGCCUAAGCAAGCUUAUCGGCACAACUAAAAGGAGCUGCACCAGGAGUAGCUAUGUAAAUGCCUCGUCAUAAGUACCUGUCACAAUUCCUCAUUUUCACCUCCAUUCCACUAAACAUAAGAAUGCUACGACAAAGAAAACACCACAUCUAUGAGUGGCAAGCAAGGCCUUUCAUUUCACUCAGCAGCCAACACCCACCAGUACUUUUCAGCAUUUGUUGUUCACUCAGCAGUCAACACCCACCAGUACUUUUCAGCAUUUGUUUGGCAAGCCUGCCCCUCAGUUGCUAAUUUAGUUUGAAGCUAUACUCUUAUUGUGGCAUGACAAAAAUCAAGUAAAUCUAAGUAUAUAAGAGAAUAAGAGAUUCUACGCAUCAUCACAUUUCCAAAGGCAUCUCAAAUACUGUGUGCUUGAUAAAUUAAUCCUUGCUCAGAACGGAGUGAAUCAGACAGUGGUAAAUUCAGUAUUCACAGAGGCCUAAACAAGCUUCUCAGCACAACUGAAAAAAGCUGCACCAGGAGUAGCCAUGUAAGUGCCUCGUCAUAAGUACCUGUCACAAUUCCUCAUUUUCACCUCCAUUCCACUAAACAUAAGAAUGCUACGACAAAGAAAACACCACAUCUAUGAGUGGCAAGCAAGGCCUUUCAUUUCACUCAGCAGCCAACACCCACCAGUACUUUUCAGCAUUUGUUUUAGCACGUCUGCCCCCAGUUGCUAAUUUAGUUUGAAGCUAUACUCCUAUUGUGGCAUGACAAAGAUCAAGUAAAUCUAAGUAUAUAAGAGAAUAAGAGAUUCUACACAUCAUCAUAUUUUCCAAAGGCACCUCAAAUACUGUGUGCUUGAUAAGUUAAUCCUUGCUAUACGGAAUGGAGUGAAUCAGACAGUGGUAAAUUCAGUAUUCACAGAGGUCUAAAUAAGCUUCUCGGCACAACUAAAAAAAGCUGCACCAGAGGUAACUAUGUAAAUGCCUCGUCAUAAGUACCUGUCACAAUUCCUCAUUUUCACCUCCAUUCCACUAAACAUAAGAAUGCUACGACAAAGAAAACACCACAUCUAUGAGUGGCAAGCAAGGCCUUUCAUUUCACUCAGCAGCCAACACCCACCAGUACUUUUCAGCAUUUGUUUUAGCACGUCUGCCCCCAGUUGCUAAUUUAGUUUGAAGCUAUACUCCUAUUGUGGCAUGACAAAGAUCAAGUAAAUCUAAGUAUAUAAGAGAAUAAGAGAUUCUACACAUCAUCAUAUUUUCCAAAGGCACCUCAAAUACUGUGUGCUUGAUAAGUUAAUCCUUGCUAUACAGAAUGGAGUGAAUCAGACAGUGGUAAAUUCAGUAUUCACGGAG
rnacentral:lncRNA from 1 species